GUCUUGGUGAUGCUCAUCUCCUCUCUAAGUGCUGUCAGCUACUUUUUCCUGCUCCUCCACCUCCUUCUCGCUGGCUGUCACUCUGGCCCCCAUUGGCGGACAGUUGAGCUGCUUGGGCUGUGUUCUCUGUCUUCAGCUCCACACUGGCCAUGUUCAUCAGCUCAGUCUUGGUGACACUCAGCUCCACUUUCUGCUCCACCACCAAUGGGUGACCUUACCUCAUACCAGGUCAUUUUCAUCCGUCACUGUAAAAGGCUGUGGGUUAAAUCCAUGUGUUAUUCAGUUGAAGGUCUCACCCUUGUUUUUAAUGGUGGUGGUUUUGCAUCCUGCAAUUUCUUUGCUGAUUUUCUUCAUUUUGCACCAUGAAUUUUGGCUACUUUACAUUCCACUGUGUUUUGUAUUUUUGUUAUUGAGUAGAAGAGUCUGUGGUUUCACUUUCAGUCUUCAAAGAUUAAAUGAUUUACCACUGGUAAGGGUGGGAUGCCGCUAGUCUAUUCUAAGGUAAGGCUAUCAUAUCCCAUCUCACACUGAGUGGUGACAAUGACCUGUCCAUUAUCACCACCUUCCCUGUAGGGAACAGGAAAGCUGUGCAGUCGGGCUCACAAAACAGGCUUGUGAGGAGAAUCCCUUUUGAGGAUUAUCUGAAGACAUGGACAAAGAUGGCCACCACUAAAGCUGGCUCGUGGAUGAGGAAGGAAUGUAUGUCUUUCUAUCUAAAUACAGGCACUCCUCAUGACCUUGGAAUGUACAUUAGGAGU
rnacentral:lncRNA from 1 species